rnacentral:rRNA from 1 species
GACGAACGCUGGCGGCGUGCUUAACACAUGCAAGUCGAACGAUGAAGAAGAGAAACGCGGACUUCGGUUCAAAUUUCACUUCGGAUUAGUGGCAGACGGGUGAGUAACGCGUGAUCAACCUACCUCUUACAAAGGGAUAGCCUCGGGAAACCGAGAUUAAUACCAUAUGACACCAUCAUAAGGCCUCUUAAGACUGUUAAAGCUACGGCGGUAAGAGAUGGGCUCGCGGCCCAUUAGCAGGUCGGUGAGGGAACGGCCCACCAAGGCGACGCUGGGUACCCGGCCUGAGAGAGUGAGCGGUCACACUGGAACUGAGACACGGUCCAAACUCCUACGGGAGGCGGCAGUGGGUGAUAUAGCACAAUGGAGGGAACUCUGAUGCAGCUACGCCGCGUGAGCGAUUAAGGAAUGCGUGUCGUAAAGCUCUGUUCUAUGGGAAGAAAAGGACUGUACCAAAAGAGAAAGCCCCGGCUAAAUACGUG